AUGCCGCGUGAGUGAAGAAGGCCCUUGGGUUGUAAAGCUCUUUCGUCGGGGAAGAAAAUGACUGUACCCGAAUAAGAAGGUCCGGCUAACUUCGUGCCAGCAGCCGCGGUAAUACGAAGGGACCUAGCGUAGUUCGGAAUUACUGGGCUUAAAGAGUUCGUAGGUGGUUAAAAAAGUUGGUGGUGAAAUCCCAAAGCUUAACUCUGGAACUGCCAUCAAAACUUUUUAACUAGAGUAUGAUAGAGGAAAGCGGAAUUUCUAGUGUAGAGGUGAAAUUCGUAGAUAUUAGAAAGAAUACCAAUUGCGAAGGCAGCUUUCUGGAUCAUUACUGACACUGAGGAACGAAAGCAUGGGUAGCGAAGAGGAUUAGAUACCCUCGUAGUCCAUGCCGUAAACGAUGUGUGCUAGACGUUGGAAAUUU
rnacentral:rRNA from 1 species